rnacentral:rRNA from 1 species
CGUGGAGACAGGUGGUGCAUGGCUGUCGUCAGCUCGUGUCGUGAGAUGUUGGGUUAAGUCCCGCAACGAGCGCAACCCUCACCCCUAGUUGCCACCGGGUUAAGCCGAGCACUCAAGGGGAACUGCCAGCGUCAAGCUGGAGGAAGGCGGGGAUGACGUCAAGUCAUCAUGCCCCUUACGCCCUGGGCUACACACGUGCUACAAUGGCCAGUACAAAGGGACGCGAGACUGCGAAGUGGAGCUAAUCCCAAAAAGCUGGUCUAAGUUCAGAUUGCAGUCUGCAACUCGACUGUAUGAAGGAGGAAUCGCUAGUAAUCGCGUAUCAGCCCGGCGCGGUGAAUACGUUCCCGGGCCUUGUACACACCGCCCGUCACACCACGAAAGCUGUCUGUACUCGAAGUCGCUGAG